CAGGGGAAGAAACUGCUGGUCCUCUAAGGAGGUGAGAAGUAGCAGGAGAGAGAAAGAACCAGGAGGAUGAGGAGCUGUGGGUCAAGCCAGGAAACUUCCACCAGGGAGGCUGGGAGUCAGGACAAAAAGCACUGUCCAGAUGGUGGAGCCUCUAGGAGCCUGGGUCUCUUGGAGCGGACAGCGUGAGCAGAGCCCCAGCUGACCACAUUGGGCACAGAGCAUGUGUUUUAAGCUACUGAUAUUUGCAGGUUGUUUGGCAGAGAUGACUAGUCACCUGCCGAAGAUCCGUGCAUACCCGUGUUAUGUAGAGUUAGUCCUUGGAAGCAAGUCUCCAGCCACGGAUGACAUUUCUAGCAUCCCCUCCCCUGCAAUCUAGAGGGAACCACGUGACUCGUUCUCACUAAUGGAAUGUGACGUGAAGUGGCUUACUUCUGGGUCAAGGUGGUUAAAUUCAGGUAUCUGAGCAGCCACCAGGUGACCAGCUCCAUGGAGGACAACAGUGGAGAACAAGACAGUCAAGCACACUGCUCUCACAGAACUUAUGUUCUAAUCCUCCCCUCUCCAAGGUGCCUGGAGCUGCUUUGGGGACGAGACAACUCGAGGUGACAUGGCGCAGGAUUACAGGCAUGAAGCCCACAGAGGGAAGGAUGCUCCCUUUCACUUCUCCUUUGAUCUCUCUGAUUAAGCACCUUCUCUGGUGCUAGACUGUCUUAUCUUUAACACCUUUCUAACACUUCGGUUGUAUCUUUUUUACAAAGAGCAGGCAGCCGGCCUUCAGCUUACAAUAGGCAGCAGCCAGAAUAUGGCUUGAUUGUUUUGUUUUUGUUGUAUUUAUUUUCCCAGUUACUACUUGCUUAUGGCAAGUAAUUCAGUUUUCUUUUCA
rnacentral:lncRNA from 1 species